AGAGUUUGAUCAUGGCUCAGAUUGAACGCUGGCGGCAUGCCUUACACAUGCAAGUCGGACGGCAGCGCGGGGGCAACCCUGGCGGCGAGUGGCGAACGGGUGAGUAAUACAUCGGAACGUGUCCUGGAGUGGGGGAUAGCCCGGCGAAAGCCGGAUUAAUACCGCAUACGCUCUAUGGAGGAAAGCGGGGGAUCUUCGGACCUCGCGCUCAAGGGGCGGCCGAUGGCAGAUUAGCUAGUUGGUGAGGUAAUGGCUCACCAAGGCGACGAUCCCUAGCUGGUCUGAGAGGAUGAUCAGCCACACUGGGACUGAGACACGGCCCAGACUCCUACGGGAGGCAGCAGUGGGGAAUAUUGCACAAUGGGCGCAAGCCUGAUGCAGCCAUGCCGCGUGUAUGAAGAAGGCCUUAGGGUUGUAAAGUACUUUUGUCCGGAAAGAAAACCUCCGUCCUAAUACGGUGGGGGGAUGACGGUACCGGAAGAAUAAGCACCGGCUAACUACGUGCCAGCCGCCGCGGUAAUAC
rnacentral:rRNA from 1 species